AACGCACGAGACCUGCGGACCUGCGGAAGGAUCAUUACCGAGUGUUACAGCUCCCAAACCCACUGUGAACGUACCCAUCGUUGCUUCGGCGGGACCGCCCCGGCGCCUCCGCGCGCCGGGCACGGGCGCCCGCCGGGGGCCCGAAACUCUUGCCUCCUCGCGUGGAUUCUCUGAGUGGCACGAAAAGGGAAAAUGAAUCAAAACUUUUAACAACGGAUCUCUAGAUCGGAAGAGCACACG
rnacentral:misc_RNA from 1 species